UACAGAGGUCUCGAGCGUUUGUUCGGAUUCAUUGGGCGUAAAGGGUGCGUAGGCGGCGCGGUAAGUCGGGUGUGAAAUCUCGGAGCUUAACUCCGAAACUGCAUUCGAUACUGCCGUGCUUGAGGACUGGAGAGGAGACUGGAAUUUACGGUGUAGCGGUGAAAUGCGUAGAUAUCGUAAGGAAGACCAGUGGCGAAGGCGGGUCUCUGGACAGUUCCUGACGCUGAGGCACGAAGGUCAGGGGGAGCAAAACGGG
rnacentral:rRNA from 1 species